rnacentral:rRNA from 1 species
AUGAACGCUGGCGGCGUGCCUAAUCCAUGCAAGUCGAGCGAACGGACGAGAAGCUUGCUUUUCUGAUGUUAGCGGCGGACGGGUGAGUAACACGUGGAUAACCUACCUAUAAGACUGGGAUAACUUCGGGAAACCGGAGCUAAUACCGGAUAAUAUUUUGAACCGCAUGGUUCAAAAGUGAAAGACGGUCUUGCUGUCACUUAUAGAUGGAUCCGCGCUGCAUUAGCUAGUUGGUAAGGUAACGGCUUACCAAGGCAACGAUGCAUAGCCGACCUGAGAGGGUGAUCGGCCACACUGGAACUGAGACACGGUCCAGACUCCUACGGGAGGCAGCGGUAGGGAAUCUUCCGCAAUGGGCGAAAGCCUGACGGAGCAACGCCGCGUGAGUGAUGAAGGUCUUCGGAUCGUAAAACUCUGUUAUUAGGGAAGAACAUAUGUGUAAGUAACUGUGCACAUCUUGACGGUACCUAAUCAGAAAGCCACGGCUAACUACGUG